GCCUGGCUGGCUCAGUCUAUAGAGCAUGUGAUUCUUAAUCUCAGGGUCAUGAGUUCAAGCCCCAUGUUGGGCA
rnacentral:tRNA from 2 species